rnacentral:rRNA from 1 species
AUUGAACGCUGGCGGCAGGCCUAACACAUGCAAGUCGAACGAGUGGCGGCCGGGUGAGUAAUGUCUGGGAAUCUACCUGAUGGAGGGGGAUACCUACGGGAAACGGUAGCUAAUACCGCGUAACAUCGGAUGUGCCCAGGUGGGAUUAGCUAGUUGGUGAGGUAAAGGCUAACCAAGCCGACGAUCUCUAGCUGGUCUGAGAGGAUGACCAGCCACACUGGGACUGAGACACGGCCCAGACUCCUACGGGAGGCAGCAGUGGGGAAUAUUGCGCAAUGGGGGCAACCCUGACGCAGCCAUGCCGCGUGAAUGAAGAAGGCCUUCGGGUUGUAAAGUUCUUUCGGUAGCGAGGCGUUAACUACAGAAGAAGCACCGGCUAACUCCGUGCCAGCAGCCGCGGUAAUAC